CAGCAGCCGCGGUAAUACAGAGGGUGCGAGCGUUAAUCGGAUUUACUGGGCGUAAAGCGUGCGUAGGCGGCUUCUUAAGUCGGAUGUGAAAUCCCUGAGCUUAACUUAGGAAUUGCAUUCGAUACUGGGAAGCUAGAGUAUGGGAGAGGAUGGUAGAAUUCCAGGUGUAUCGGUGAAAUGCGUAGAGAUCUGGAGGAAUACCGAUGGCGAAGGCAGCCAUCUGGCCUAAUACUGACGCUGAGGUACGAAAGCAUGGGGAGCAAACAGGAUUAGAUACCCGCGUAGUCCCUGUCUCUUAUAC
rnacentral:rRNA from 1 species